rnacentral:rRNA from 1 species
GUCGGGAGUCUUGCACAAUGGGGGAAACCCUGAUGCAGCGACGUCGCGUGUGGGAUGAAGUAUUUCGGUAUGUAAACCACUUUUGCGGGGGGCGAAAAAAAUGACGGUACCCCGCGAAUAAGCCCCGGCUAACUACGUGCCAGCAGUCGCGGUAAUACGUAGGGGGCGAGCGUUGCUCGGAUUGACUGGGCGUAAAGCGCGCGUAGGCGGUCCAUUAAGUGUGCGGUGAAAUUCGGAGGCUCAACCUCCGUCCCGCCGCGCAAACUGAUGGUCUUGAGAUUGGGAGGGGGAUGCGGAAUUCCUGGUGUAGCGGUGAAAUGCAUUGAUAUCAGGAGGAACACCGGCGGCGAAAGCGGCAUCCUGGCUUAUAUCUGACGCUGAGGCGCGAAAGCGUGGGUAGCAAACGGGAUUAGAAACCCCGGUAGUCC